rnacentral:lncRNA from 1 species
UGUCAUUGCCAUGUUCAAGUAUUUCUCCUAAUUCACUAAAGCAUUUGGACUGAAAGCCAAUCUGAGCAAAAGUUCAGUAUACUUUGGAGGGGUUAGUGAUGAAGUACAGUAGCAGAUUACUGAUCACCUAGGUUAUGUGUAUGGAGAUUUGCCUUUCAAAUAUUUGGGCAUUCGUUCAGCAUACUUUGGAGGGGUUAGUUCUGAAGUUCAACAGCAGAUUACUGAUCACCUAGGUUAUGUGUAUGGAGAUUUGCCUUUCAAAGAUUUGGGCAUUCCUCUAUCCACCAAGAAGAUGGCAUUGAUUCAGUGGCAACCUCUGGUGGAAAAGAUCACUGCUAGGAUCACCUCAUUGACUGCUAGAAAGUUAUCAUAUGCUGGGAGGAUGCAAUUGGUACAGUCAGUGGUUUUUGGUAUACAGGCUUACUGGGCACGACUCUUCAUUAUCCCUACAAAGGUCCUAAAGCUAAUAGAAGCAGUCUGCAGAAGUUUCAUAUGGUCUGGAUCAAGUGUUAUCACUAAGAAGCCCUACAUUGCCUGGGACAAAAUGUGUUUGCCUAAGUCAGCUGGUG